CCUACGGGGGGCUGCAGUGGGGAAUAUUGGACAAUGGGGGGAACCCUGAUCCAGCCAUGCCGCGUGUGUGAAGAAGGCCCUCGGGUUGUAAAGCACUUUCAGUGAGGAAGAACGCCUGGUGGUUAAUACCCAUCAGGAAAGACAUCACUCACAGAAGAAGCACCGGCUAACUCCGUGCCAGCAGCCGCGGUAAUACGGAGGGUGCGAGCGUUAAUCGGAAUUACUGGGCGUAAAGCACGCGUAGGUGGCUUGAUAAGCCGGUUGUGAAAGCCCCGGGCUCAACCUGGGAACGGCAUCCGGAACUGUCAAGCUAGAGUGCAGGAGAGGAAGGUAGAACUCCCGGUGUAGCGGUGAAAUGCGUAGAGAUCGGGAGGAAUACCAGUGGCGAAGGCGGCCUUCUGGACUGACACUGACACUGAGGUGCGAAAGCGUGGGUAGCAAACAGGAUUAGAUACCCGGGUAGUC
rnacentral:rRNA from 1 species